rnacentral:rRNA from 1 species
UACGUAGGGUCCGAGCGUUGUCCGGAAUUAUUGGGCGUAAAGCGUGCGCAGGCGGCUUUGCAAGACAGAUGUGAAAUCCCCGGGCUCAACCUGGGAACUGCAUUUGUGACUGCAUGGCUAGAGUACGGUAGAGGGGGAUGGAAUUCCGCGUGUAGCAGUGAAAUGCGUAGAUAUGCGGAGGAACACCGAUGGCGAAGGCAAUCCCCUGGACCUGUACUGACGCUCAUGCACGAAAGCGUGGGGAGCAAACAGG